GAUGAACGCCGGCGGCGUGCCUAAUACAUGCAAGUCGAGCGAACAGACGAGGAGCUUGCUCCUCUGACGUUAGCGGCGGACGGGUGAGUAACACGUGGAUAACCUACCUAUAAGACUGGGAUAACUUCGGGAAACCGGAGCUAAUACCGGAUAAUAUAUUGAACCGCAUGGUUCAAUAGUGAAAGACGGUUUUGCUGUCACUUAUAGAUGGAUCCGCGCCGCAUUAGCUAGUUGGUAAGGUAACGGCUUACCAAGGCGACGAUGCGUAGCCGACCUGAGAGGGUGAUCGGCCACACUGGAACUGAGACACGGUCCAGACUCCUACGGGAGGCAGCAGUAGGGAAUCUUCCGCAAUGGGCGAAAGCCUGACGGAGCAACGCCGCGUGAGUGAUGAAGGUCUUCGGAUCGUAAAACUCUGUUAUUAGGGAAGAACAAAUGUGUAAGUAACUAUGCACGUCUUGACGGUACCUAAUCAGAAAGCCACGGCUUACUACGUG
rnacentral:rRNA from 1 species